rnacentral:rRNA from 1 species
GCUGAACGCUGGCGGCGUGCCUAAUACAUGCAAGUCGAGCGAAUGGAUUGAGAGCUUGCUCUUAUGAAGUUAGCGGCGGACGGGUGAGUAACACGUGGGUAACCUGCCCAUAAGACUAGGAUAACUCCGGGAAACCGGGGCUAAUACCGGAUAACAUUUUGAACCGCAUGGUUCGAAAUUGAAAGGCGGCUUCGGCUGUCACUUAUGGAUGGACCCGGGUCGCAUUAGCUAGUUGGUGAGGUAACGGCUCACCAAGGCAACGAUGCGUAGCCGACCUGAGAGGGUGAUCGGCCACACUGGGACUGAGACACGGCCCUGACUCCUACGGGAGGCAGCAGUAGGGAAUCUUCCGCAAUGGACGAAAGUCUGACGGAGCAACGCCGCGUGAGUGAUGAAGGCUUUCGGGUCGUAAAACUCUGUUGUUAGGGAAGAACAAGUGCUAGUUGAAUAAGCUGGCACCUUGACGGUACCUAACCAGAAAGCCACGGCUAACUACGUGCCAGCCGCCGCCGUAA